AACUGAUACUACCUGCGGGAACCUGCGGAGGGAUCAUUAAAGAGUUGCAAGACUCCCAAACCAUUGUGAACGUUACCCACACCGUUGCUUCGGCGGGCGGCCCGGGCCCUGCCCGGCGCCCCCCGGCCCCUCGCGGGCGCCCGCCGGAGGUAAACCAAACUCUUGAAUUGUAUGGCCUCUCUGAGUCUUCUGUACUGAAUAAGUCAAAACUUUUAACAACGGAUCUCUAGAUCGGAAGAG
rnacentral:misc_RNA from 1 species